GAUGAACGCUGGCGGCGUGCCUAAUACAUGCAAGUCGAGCGAAUGGAUUAAGAGCUUGCUCUUAUGAAGUUAGCGGCGGACGGGUGAGUAACACGUGGGUAACCUGCCCAUAAGACUGGGAUAACUCCGGGAAACCGGGGCUAAUACCGGAUAAUAUUUUGAACUGCAUGGUUCAAAAUUGAAAGGCGGCUUCGGCUGUCACUUAUGGAUGGACCCGCGUCGCAUUAGCUAGUUGGUGAGGUAACGGCUCACCAAGGCAACGAUGCGUAGCCGACCUGAGAGGGUGAUCGGCCACACUGGGACGGAGAGACGGCCCAGACUCCGACGGGAGGCAGAAGUAGGGAAUCUUCCGCAAUGGACGAAAGUAUGACGGAGCAACGCCGCGUGAGUGAUGAAGGCUUUCGGGUCGUAAAACUCUGUUGUUAGGGAAGAACAAGUGCUAGUUGAAUAAGCUGGCACCUUGACGGUACCUAACCAGAAAGCCACGGCUAACUACGUGCCAGCCGCCGCAGUAA
rnacentral:rRNA from 1 species